ACACUCUCUUUCCUCACUUUUUCUUUCUCUCUCUCUCUCUCUUUCUCUCUCUCUUUUCUUCCUUUACUUCGUAACCCACCUUUUCUCUCUCUCAAACUCUAGCUUUUCGCACAAAACUCUCUGAUCUACUCACUCCAAAUCAUCCCCUCACCUUGCUCCUUUGAGUUAGAUUGUAGAGCUUGUUGAGGGCCAUUCUAAUCUAAGCAGAUCGUUGUUUUGCCACAGUCGACUUUUGGGGUUUUUCCCUCCUCUAGUUGAGGUAUGAACGUUCUUUGUCGCUGGUUCUUCGCGAAUGGAGGGUCACAAGGCAGGUUCUGCGUGGGUUUGCUACAAUCACAACCAGGAGCAGAUUGCCCAGAGUGAAAAACCACUUCACCUUCCAUCCCCCUUCCUUUCCGAAGCUAGAGCAUGUUUGGAUGCCUUACAGUGGGCUUGGGAACAGGGGAUGCGGUGCAUAUCUAUCUUUACAAACUCAAAAAGUGUCCGUCAAUGUUCUUAAUGGCAUAUCUUAUCCGAAUUGGACUGUUGCGACUGUUAUCAUGGAUAUAAAGAAUUGUGGUAGUUCAUUUCUUUUUGUAGAUAUAUCCAAGGUGCACAGGUCUAUUGUCCAACCUGCACACAAAACCUGCUAAAAAAAAAAGAAAAGGUUCCCUAAUUUCUAAUACAUCUGUUUAUCUUUGUUCUCAAAAAAAUAAAAAAUAUAAAAAGAUUUUGUUUCCUGUCAAA